GACGAACGCUGGCGGCGUGCUUAACACAUGCAAGUCGAACGCUGAAGCACCAGCUUGCUGGUGUGGAUGAGUGGCGAACGGGUGAGUAAUACGUGAGUAACCUGCCCUUGACUCUGGGAUAAGCCCGGGAAACUGGGUCUAAUACUGGAUGCUACAUGUCACCGCAUGGUGGUGUGUGGAAAGGGUUUACUGGUCUUGGAUGGGCUCACGGCCUAUCAGCUUGUUGGUGAGGUAAUGGCUCACCAAGGCGACGACGGGUAGCCGGCCUGAGGGGGUGACCGGCCACACUGGGACUGAGACACGGCCCAGACUCCGACGGGAGGCAGCAGUGGGGAAUAUUGCACAAUGGGCGAAAGCCUGAUGCAGCGACGCCGCGUGAGGGAUGACGGCCUUCGGGUUGUAAACCUCUUUCAGCAGGGAAGAAGCCACAAGUGACGGUACCUGCAGAAGAAGCGCCGGCUAACUACGUGCCAGCAGCCGCAGUAA
rnacentral:rRNA from 1 species